GUUGGGGUAGGGAGAAGAAGGAAGAUAGCAGGAAAGGAGAUUUUUUUUUUAAGAAGACUUUUAGCACGCUGAGUAUAAAGGAGAGCACAAGAGCAGAAGGGAGGAUUCUGGGAAAAAGGUGGAGAAGUGCACAAGAGCAGAAGAGGGAGAUUGCAGCCAAGGUUCUGCCAGGUACGCUUUCUUUUAUUAUUAUUAUUAUUUCUUAUUAUUUUGGUAUUCCCGUUUACAUUCACUUGAGAUUCUCUGGCUGUUUUCGGGAAGUUGUUCUUGCUGAUUGGAGUGGACAUUGAGGGCCAUUUAUUUGCGUUGUUGAAUCGAAAUUUCUUUCAAAUUUGCUCUAUUAUGAUUGUGUUCUUGAUUUCUUUGAUUCUUUUUAUAAAUAGCUGAAACAGAGACUUAUGUUUGAAUUUUAAUGUUUGUGGAAUCCUGAUAUGAUUUUAACUAAGCUUGUCUUAAUGUGUUCAGAUUCUUCAAAGCCCUUCUGAAAAUAAUGAAAUGUGACUUAUUCAGAUUUCCCACCCAUUGCCUUCCAUUCCCCUGUUUUCGUUUUUUUUUCUUUCUUUGUUCGGUUUCUUUUUUUUUGUGCUUCUAUAUCUACGCUUCUUCCUCUUCUUUACUUUGGUGUUCUGGGCUAUGGAGACAAUGAUGGCAUGAGUAUUUUAUGAAAGGUAGAGACUUUAUAAAGGCUGUGUAGAAUGUGGGCUGUUUGUGGGGUUUGGCACAUGAUAACAGAUUGUUGAAUCAAAUUGGGAAUUUCCUCCUUAUGGCUUUGCUUCGUCCAGAUUUCAGCAUGUGGGGACAGCACAGUGCUUUGCAAGUUCUUGUAAAUAUUUUGGAGAGAUCAUAAAGCCUUGCAACACCAAAAAUUGUGGCUCCCUGUUCCUGGGCUUCCUCCUGUUAGUAACAGGGUUUAUCCAGUUGAAAAGAAACAUAUUGUUGACAUGAAUGUCCAAAAUGGUCGUUCUUCUAGCAUGACUGAGCUUUCUAAUAUCACAGCUACUUUAUCUGGCUAAAGCAUGUCAAGAAAUAGAUGUGAAGAUGAAAAUAGUCACUUACAGUUUCAACUUCAUGCAGAAUUUGAUGAUCAAUCUGAUUUCCUGUUAAAUACGAUCAAUGGUAAUAACUAGAGUGGGCAGAAGCAACUCACUGACAAAUCCAAAGCUGCAAAACCCUUCACUUCCAUAAACCAUCUUGAUUUAGCAAGAAAAAAUAGAACCGUAACAGAUCUUGAUGGGCAAAUAAACUUUCCUAAAAGAAUCUUUUCUUCUGCCAGUCUUUACUCAAAGGUCCAGCUUUGAGUGGUAGUGGAGAUGGUCAGAGUUGGAGACGAACUGGAAAUUGGGUGGGCUCUGACCUUCACUCACACAUGGAAUCGCAUGGUGUCCACUACAUGCAAGGAACUUCAGAUUAUGCAACACGUACAGCUGCUAGCCAGAGUGACCCUUCUUUAGUAAGGAAUUUCAUUGGCACUUUACAUGGAGAUUUUGUUAGGGUUGCAGAAAGUGUACCUUGAGACUUCGCUUGCUCAGCAAAAAAAACAAUAAUAUGAGUUGCCACUUUUAGGUAAAUCUGGUAGUUUGAAUCAGGGGUACUAUAAGAAUUCUUCGGUUAUCUUGGUGGAAAAGUGCACAAGGGUGGAAAAUGAACAAUUUGCUAUCUCUGAAGACUGCAUUACUGAUAAACCUGAGGGGUCAAAGGUAAAAGGUAGUGCAUCAACUAGUCAUGUUCGUUUGAAGGUUAAAAUGGGCAAAAUAGUAAGUCAAAGUGGUUCGAAGGAUAUUGUUCUGGACAUGGUUGGUACUUCAGAUCCCAUUCUGACCAUUUUUAGCGAUGACAGGUCUGAACUAUGCGGGGCCGUGAGUUCAGAAUUAUAGAAAUUCACAGUUGGCAUUGAAACACAAUUAAUGAGAGAAAUCCUUGGGACUGGAUAUGCAUUCGGCUAUUUGUGAUCUUCUUGGUGUUCUUGUUGAAACCGACCCUUUGGUACUCUGUGGCAAGUCUUAAAAAGUGAAUUGAAUGCGACCCCUGUUAUGGAAAUGGAUGGCUUAGAUUAUGACGCCAUAGUUCAUGCUUAUGAAAAGAUUAGCAUGGAGUUCUUUUAUAUACUAUCCCGGAGAAUCAGACACUGGUUAUUUUGUCGCAUUGUGUAUAUGACAUGUCAUCCAAUGAACUGACCUUAAGGCACAGUGCAUAUAGGUCAUUGGUCGUUCUGUUGGACUCUUUGUCCAAAUACCUAAACUUGAUGUGAAGAGUGACCAUGAAGCGCCUGAAGUAAUGGUAACAUUCAUAGCUGAUGGUUGUUGGACUGAAGCAUGCAUUCAGCGUGUGAUAAAUAAAUUCCUUUUGAAGCAUAUGGCAGAUGCAAUGAGCAAGGAAAAUUUUGUUCGAAAGGAAUGGGUUGAUUUACUAGGAGAAAUGGUGCUGAAGCUUCCAGAGCAUUUCAUCAAGGCCCAACAGCCAGUUAUGCCGCAACCUCGUCUGAGGCAGCCAUCUGGGUUUAAUGAUAUUCAGUUGAUACAGCAGCGCAUCAUGUUCAAGCAGCUGUAAGAACUUCAGAGGCAGCAGCAACUUCAGCAGCUGAGUGAUACCAAGCAAAACUCUAUAGUGAAGUGAAGGCAUUAGAAGUUGAAAUAGAUGUUGUGGCAUAUACUAUUUAACAAGCAAGGAAUACCGAAAGAAAUGAAAGUCAUGUCUCCGAUGGUAAUGAUAACAGGGCACAAGAAGAUGCAGAGGAUGAUUAACUUGUUAUUCAGACUUCUCUCAAUAAUUUAACCCUUUAGCAUGCCCUAGCUGCUGAUCAUCUAGGAAGCCUCAAGAAAACGAAAGCUUAACUUGAAAUAGAGCUUUCAAAUUUGCAAAAGGAGAAGCCUUCCAAGAUUGUUGAGCAUGACAAGGUGAUACCAAAUUUAGUUGAGGAGGCCUGACCCAAGAAAAUGUUAAAUGAAAUUCUGAAAUCGGGGAAGGAGUUAAAGAAGGGAAAGAAAACAAUUUCAUUUGAUGAUGAUGUUGAUUUUGAUGCAGUCUUGUGCAUCUUCCAGCAUAGACAUAGCUCAGAAUGUUUCUGCAGGUGCUUUAAUCUUAAAAUUUGAAGAGGGGAAAAUAAUGAUGCAGAUACAAGUGGCCAAAUGUCUUUAAAAUGCACUAUGAAAGAUUCAGAAACAAAGGAAAAUGCAUUACACCAGGUUGCCAAUUCAAUUUCUUGUCCAAGAUUCAUUUUUAACUCUGGAUGUCAAGAUCAAGUUUCUGUGGAGGUGGAUAACUAGAAGUCUAGGGCAUCAGUGUUUACUUCGGGAAUUGCUGCUACUGGAAGUUCAUUAUUUUUUCUAGGCAGUCAGUUGGGAGAUAGUUUGCUUGUGCAAUUUACUUCCAUACCGUCUUCUAGUGUGGAGAAAAAGGUUGGAGAUAUUGAAGGUGAUCUGCCUUCAGCAAAGCGAUUGCGCAGAUCCUCUUCUGAUGCUUUGCAAGAUAUGGUCAAAGGUGAUAAGCUGCCAUUGAAUGGUUCGGCUCCAAAUAGCACAGAAACGUCAGAGAAGACAUUUUCAUUUUCAGUGAACGAUUCACUCAUCAAUGUUGGUCCGUUGAAAGACUUCGCCUAUGGUCUUCGAAUUAAUGCUGACCUAAAAGCAACUGGCAUUGUUAAACAAAGUAAUUUUGAACUGAUGUGUUGUUCGGGUCAUGGAAAGAAUGGUACUCUCUGUAUUCUGCAGCAAUCAAUUCGUCCGGAAAUGAUCACUGAGGUUGAACUUCCUGGUUGCGAAAGAAUUUGGACAGUUUAUCACAAAAACACACGUGGUCAUAAUGCUGAUUCUACCAAGAUGGUUACUAAGGAUGAUGAGUAUUGUGCAUACUUGAUUAUAAGCCCGGAAUCUAGAACGAUGGUACUAGAAACAGUUGAACUUCUCGGUGAAAAUGACUUUGCUCUGUCUGUGGCAAUGGAUCUAGCUGCAAAUGUUUCUACCAUAGAACAGACUUCUAGGGCCGCUUCUGUUAGUUUCAUGCAUAUAUUUCUGUAUAAAAUAUCUGGGCAGGAAUCAGCAAUAAUGGGCAUUUUGAAAAUGCUGAGAUCGCUAGAAUGCGUUGUUUAGUAGCACUUGGUAAACUGGUCAAACAAGGAUCAGAGCACUGCCUUUGAUCUGAAAAUGGAAUUCAUCACCUUAGAAAAGCUCUUCACAUGUUCCUUGAACAGUGUUUUGAUAAGGAAUCUUCUCGAUUAUUCUUUACUAUUCUCUCACAAAGGGGAAGAUGCUCAUAAUGCUAAUAGGUGCUGUAUUGUAGACCCCUCCCAUUCUCCCAAUAAAGAGAGUUCAAAAUCAGCAUUUGAGAUCCUUGGUGCUAGAGCAGUUGUUUGUUUUGCCAGUGGCAGUGAGCAACCAGAAAUUCUCUUUCCCGACAUGCAGAUACUGGUGCAUGAGUAGACCAGAGGCAAUACCACAGCUACAGAAGUAGUUACAUAGAGAGUCUUGGAACCGUAAUGCGCGUUACUUGUUGAUACUUAGUUUUCUACAGAAGGCACAUGAAGAGAGAUCUCUAAGACCUUUUCGUACAGUAAUUGAGCAGCUAAAUUUUAUGGUUAUUCCCAAUCACUUAUAUUUAAAGAAGGAUACAUGUUGCCAAUACCGAAAAUUCCAGCUGCUACUUUGUGCUUCAGAAAUCAGUUUGCAAGGUGGUGAUUAUCUUAGCUGUGUCAACCAUGCUAAAAAUGCUUACUAGCACAAAUGCUGAAGACAUCCCGCCAAACUGCCUUGAUCAAUUCAACGUAGAAAUGAAAAGAGAAACAGAAGAGUCAAGCUCAUAGGAAGCACAGUUGGAGGACAAGCUUGUGAAUAUCUUUGAGGCUAAUACGGAAAAAUAGGACACUACAAACAAAUGCCAUAACUGAAACUAGACCACAGGCUGAAGAGGUUGACAGCAUGAAGCUUGAAGAAACCUUAUAAUUGGUGUUUCAAUUUCCAGCUAAGGCAUGUGAGAAUACAAACAAGGAGUUGGAACUUCCAAUGUAUUCUACUCUUUCAAGUGACAUUAAUUACUUUAUAUGAAAAGAUUUCUAGCUUUUCGUAUGACUCUGGAAACACUGAUGAUGACUUUAAGAAUAGCAGAAAAUAUAGCAGUAAUGAUGAUUUUGACUCAGAUUCAGGAACUUUCAAUUUAAGAGAAAACUGGUGGUGGUGUGGAGAAAGAUCAAGAACUAAAUGUUGGUGCUGUUGUCCGUGAUACUGUUAUAGUUGAUAACCAGGAUGGUACUAAAGGGGAUGCCUGUACAGAUAAAAGCGAAACUGCUGGUCUAAGUAAUAAUGAGGAAAAAACAAGAAAUAGAAACCAAGCCAGAAGCUGAUUCUGAAGCCACAAAGAAUGAGCGUAUUGUAAAGGUAGUUGCUGAUGGAGUACAAUUUGUGCAUAGAGGGAAAAAAGCUGUUGGCAAUGAAGACCAAGCGGUGGAAAAUGACACUGAAUCUACCACAGAGAACCUAACACUUGAGUCAAAACAGUUAGAAAACAGACUUACACAUGUUAAUGCAUAGGGCGCUGAACUGGAAAAUGCGGUCUUUGGCAAAUCAGAGUCACUUGAAUCUGCGGAUCUCAGUCCAGUUUUUAACACAACAAUAAAACUAGAUGAAACCGAUCAUUACUCAGAUGAAGAUGAUAAAGAAAGUGAGAUUGAAGGCUCAGUUACAGAUGAAGAGUUUAAAGGUAUGGUUCUUGAAGGUUCUGAAGCUGCCAAACACUUCUUGAAGGAAUUGGAGCAAGUAUUAGGUGGAGGUUCUCACUCUAGUGCAGAGAGUUCUCGUGAUCAUUCACAGAGAAUUGGUGGCCAAAUUAUAAGUGAUUCAGAUGAAGAAGUGGACAUUGAUGAAGAAAGAGAUAGAAAGGAAUUAUUUAAUUCUGUUGCAUUGGCUGCCAUUUUGAAAGCAGUAACAAAUACAAGUUCUGAUAGUGGCAGUAUCACAAUAACCUCUCCAGGCGGAUCCAAGUUUUUUUUUUUUUCUGUUGACUGUCUUGCUAGAUUGGAAUCUGCGAACUGGUCUCAGAAACCUGCUCCCCUUCCUGACCAAACCAGUCCGAUCUUUUUACCCCUUCUAAUCUUGCAAUCGGAGGCGACUCAAAGAACUCCUUGAGUGAAGAAGAUAAAAACAUUAAAAAUGAAGUAGAAUUUCAGAUUGCGGAAUGAUUUUCAAACUCUGGGGAUCCACAAAAGCAGAAGAACCAUCAAGCAUUCACUUGACAAGCAAGGAAAGCAUACAUGCAGGGAAUUGAUAAGUAAGCCACUGAUAGCAGAAUAUUGGGACCUCUAGAGUCGGCAGAAGUUGACUGAAGCGAUGAAAAUAAACUAGGAUCUGACGAAUCAGCUGAUUGAAUCAGAGAAGGCUGUGGAUGCAUUUGACAUAUUUUCUGAGAAUUUGAGCCAUCCAGAUCGCGAAGGUCCAGAAUUCCAACUCCUCCGGCUGAAGCUAAGAAACAGUUCUGUUUGCGUAACGGCAAAGGCAUAGAAGCUGAAGUUGGAAGGAUAUAUGUUUUGCAUGGGAAGACUCGUCUAGGAAUACUGAUAUUUCUGCAGUUUCCAGUGGCUAUUAGAUGUGAAUUGAUGUAUUUGGGUGACGAGAAUCCAACAGUUGAUGGGCAUGUCAAUUUCAAGCCUUCUGAGGAGAUAGAUGGAAGUCAAGGAUUUCUAAUUCCAAUUUUAGAGACUAUUGAAUGCAAAUUGCCUCUAACUGAACUUAGAGAAGAGAAGGAUGAGGGGAAAAAUAAUAUAGAAUCAAUACCAUAAGUCAGAGAAAACCAGAUUCAUGUGACUGUUUGCUUCUAGAUCCAAUUUCAUAUUGCUGAUUUGUAACUGGUGAGUUCUAAGCCCGUAAAGAAAGUAAAAUCUACAGUCAAAGAAUGAAUUUGAAAUUGAAGAUGAGAUGAUUGGUGACGGAGCAAUAGGAGGUCAAAACCAUGAGCUUGGAGUUACUAAAGAGUUGAAAUAAUCAGUUUUUUUUGUCCAUUAUACUUAUGCUUUUGAUGAUCUUCUUCAAAUCCUGCAGAACCACUGGAAUGGUUCAGUUAACUUUCAGUCCUUUUUACCUUUCAUAGAGGAUGGAAAUUAGCUUCCAGAUAGCAAUUCAAAUCUGGAUGAGGGGAGCUGCUCAGGUGUAGAUAACUCAGUCAGCUUGUCUAUUUCAAGAGAGCUUCAAGAUGGAAUAGGCCAAAUUGUCAUUCAACCAUUAACUACUCAAGAAAAUCUUGACAGCUCCAAAAGAUAUCAGUAAUGAGCAGAUCAUCCAACUUUGCGCCUUUCAUGUAAUGGUCCUCAUAGAACAGAGAAGAAGCCUUCAGGAGGAACAAGAGGAUGGUGGAGCUAGGUGUCUUCUUGGCAGCCACACUCGAAAGUCCCGAAAUACAGGAUCCAUCAGAAAGUCUCUAGCGUACUGCCCAUUUACCUUCACACACGCGAAAUAGGCUGCUGAAUCCUAUUGACUGAAGGUUAAUUACUGAUUGUGGACAAUUUGAUACACCUGAAGAAUAAGGAGUUAUUCUGGAAACUGAACGUCUGAAAAUCAAUUAAGACACAAGCACUUAGUUGAAGAGAAUUAUCUGUGAGCAAGUUGACAAUAGAAGCAGAACUCAGAUGUUAAUUACACUCAAACAACCUCAUAUCAUUCUCCAAACCUGAAUUAGAAGAAAUGUUGGAAGACAUCAGUCGGAGUGCACCAAGUUCUUGCCUAGGUUGUGAAGAAUGCAGAAUUCCAUCUCAGCAAUAUACAGAAGCAUCCUUAGGCAACCCAAGUGAUUCAGUCUCAAAAGCAGCCUAGACAUUAAUCCAGCUUGGCCACCUUGCCGCAUAUCAUACUCCUUCUGAUGUUUCUUUUUUUUUCUUUUUUUUGUGAUCUUAUACAUCUUAAAUCUGGAUUUCAAAAUCUUUUCCAUUAAAUAACUCUUUUUUUUCUUUGAAAUCCCAUCCUUAGGAGUUUGUAGGCAUAAUAUCCAGAUUUCAACAUACCAUUCGCUGCCAUUUUCCCUUCCGGCAUGCAUUUUCAUCAUUUUCAACUAUUUUCAUGAUUUUCUCGAUUUUCAACAAGCAUGAAUAAGCUUCAUGAUUCCAAACAAUGGAAUUCAUAGAAUCAACUCAUGCGAAAUUAAUUAGGGCUUUGGUGGGGGCCCGACAUUCAUGAUAUUUUCAUCAAUAUUGUUUGCUAGAUAUGUUGAUUUUUGAUUCUGCUUGACGAAAUACUUGAAUUCACUUAAUAUUUAUUGUUGAGAUGCCCUUGUUCCCAUAAGACGUGUGGAUGCUCACUAAUGAGGUAUGCUCUUCCCACCCUACAAACUCUAAAAUUCUAUGAAUGUGUACGUUAUCAUGAGCUAUGAUCCUGUUUGAUGGCAUGAUUGAUUGCUUUGAUGCUUGUUUAAUCAUCUUUGAUAAAAUACAUAUAAUGUGUCGUAUUUCCAAACUAAUCUCUUAUGUUUCAUGAUAGCGCUUGAGAAGCGGUUCAGGUACGCGCCCUAACCCUCCUUUAUUACAAUUUGAUUGUGUUUGACAUGCCACACUUUAAAAUCACCUAGUCUACUUAGGUAUCUAUGAUUAAUCCAUUAAUUGCCACACUUCCCUUAAUGUAGUUAGUAGAGACCUUCAUAGGGCUUAGAGGGGUGCUACCUUUUAAAGGUACCUUCCCAAUAAGUAACCUGAUUCCCGAACCUAGACUUGGGUUUCUCAAAGACAUGCUUUUUCCAAAACUAUGGAGUCACUUUUUAGGGUUUUUCUUUCUUAUUUUAUUUUCCCUUCAAAAUAAAAAUAAAAUAGGUGGCGACUCCAACUUUUAUAAAAUUAAUUUUUUACAAAUAAAAAGCGAGUCUCGCCGAUCGAGUGGGGACGCACGUGAAAAAUGCGGGUCCACACUCACAUGAAAUGACAUGUUGAUGGUCGCAUGCAAGGUGAGAUGAUGAGGCAUCCAGUGGACUCUUUGGCUUGGAAAAACUUCGAUAAUGUACACCCUUCAUUUGCACUAGAACCUCGAAAUUUUAGGCUCGGUUUAGCAAGUGAUGGGUUCAAUCCUUUUGGGAAUAUGUCAAUUUCAUACAGCAUGUGGCCUGUAGUUCUUAUUCCAUGUAACUUACCACCUUGGAUGUGUAUGAAACGGACAUUCUUCAUGUUGUCACUACUUUUUCCUGGUCCAACUGCACCUGGGAAUGACAUUGACAUAUACUUACAACCAUUGAUAGAUGAGUUGAAUGACUUAUGGGACGUUGGAGUUUAAACAUAUGAUGUUUCAACAAAACAAAAUUUUUGUAUGCAUGCAGCUAUAUUAUAGACCAUCAAUGAUUUUCCUGCAUAUGCAAAUCUUUUAGGUUGGAGUACUAAAGGGAAAUUUUCUUGUCCUAUUUGUAAUAAGGAUUGUUCUUCAUUUCAAUUACAAAACGGAUGGAAAUGGUGUUACAUGGGUCAUCGCCGAUUUUUGUCGAUUGAUCAUAGAUUUUGACGUGAUAAAAAGUCCUUUGAUGGAAAUAAAGAGCAUAGAGCAGCACCUAAAUAAUUGUCUGGGGAAGAUGUUCUACAUCAAUUAAAUGGAAUGAAACAUAUUACUUUAGGGAAGACAUCAAAAAAUAAGAUGUCAGCAAAAAGAAAAAGAUAACAUGUUGAACUUGAGCACAAUUGGAAAAAAAAAACAUUUUUUUCCAAUUGCCAUAUUGGAAAACCCUCAUUUUGUGUCACAAUUUGGAUGUAAUGCAUAUUGAAAAGAAUAUAUGUGACAGUAUAGUUGGCACCUUGUUGAGUAUCGAUGGUAAAUCGAAUGAUAACUUCAAUAGUCAUCUUGACUUGCAAGCUAUGGGUAUCAGAGAUCAACUUCACCCCAUACAAAGAAGGAAUAGGGUUAUAUUGUCUGCUGCAUGCUAUUCACUAACUUCAAAUGAAAAAAAAAGAAUUCUGUAAAUUUUUGAAAGAAGUAAAGAUUCCAGAUGGUUAUGCUUCUAACAUCUCUCGGUGUGUACAAGUGAAUGAAAGAAAGAUAUUUGGGUUGAAGUCUCAUGAUUGUCAUGUUCUCAUGCAACAACUCCUUCUACUUGCAAUUCAAGGAGUUCUACAUAAGAAUGUUUGUGCUGUUAUAGUUGAACUAUGUAGUUUCUUCAAAUAAUUGUGUUCUAAAGUGUUAAAGACUGAUCAAUUAGAACACCUUGAGAAUGACAUAAUAUUCACACUUUGCAAAUUAGAAAGAAUAUUUCCUCCAUCAUUCUUUGAUGUUAUGGUGCAUUUACCUAUUCAUUUUGCAAGUUAGGUAAAGGUUGCUGGACCAGUGCAAUAUUGAUGGAUGUAUCCUAUCGAGCGGUAUGUUCUCAUUCAAUUAAUCUUAUGUAUAUUAGGUUUCUUAUAGUUCAUGAAACAAAUCUAUCAUGUCGUGAAAUGACAGGUAUUUACGUACAUUAAAGUCUUAUGUCCGUAAUAAGAGUCGUCCAGAAGGUUCUAUUGCAGAGGGGUACAUAGCAUAAGAAUGUACAACCUUUUGUUCAAGAUAUUUGCAUGAUGUUGAAACGAAGCAUGAUCGUGAAGAAAGAAAUUAUGUCAUUGAAAAUAACAUAACAAAUGGUGAAGGGUUAACCAUUUUCAAAUGCAUGGGACGUACAAUAGGGAAGUCAACAUCUCGUGUUCUUAGCACAGAAGAAUGGUCCCAAGCAUAUUUAUAUGUGUUGACUAAUUGUGAGGAAGUGACAUCAUUUAUUGAAGAGCAUAAGGAAUCUAUAAGGGUUAAGCCUCGUAUUCGUGCAUGAGAUGUAGAUUUGAUUCACACAAGAGAUUUCAUUAGUUGGUUUGAAGAACGUGUAAGUUCAUUCACUACAUAAAUUGUUCUAUUAUCUAAUACACAUGUAUGUAUUAACAUCUUAUAUUUGAAUCUAUAGAUUAUACAAAUGCGACAUGAAGGUCCAAUUUUUGAACACAUACUAUCAUUGUCUCGUGGACCAAGUACAUCAGUUACAUGUUAUAAAGGAUACAUCAUUAAUAGGUUCAAAUUUCACACAAGAGAAUGAGAAAAGGGAAAAAAAAAAACUCAAAAUAGUGGAGUUGUUGUGACCGCAGAGGUAUCAAGCUUUGCAAGUGCAAAAGAUAAGAACCCAAUUCCUGGUCAUGUUUCUUACUAUGGUGUGCUAACUGAUGUAAUUGAGUUACAUUACCUUGGUGGAAAUAGAGUUAUUUUAUUCAAGUAUGACUGGUGAGAUGUAAUUAAUAGUGGAAGGGGAAUAAAAAAAGAUGAAUAUGGGUUCAUGUGUUUGAAUUUUGAACAUACCAUAUGCACAAAUGAACCAUUUGUGCUUGCAUCUCAAGCAAAACAAGUCUUCUAUGUUCAAAAUUCAAAUGAGGAAAAUUGGCACACUAUUGUAGAGAUACAAACUCGAGGGGUUUAUGAUAUGAAUCAGAAAGUAUCUACUAAUGAUCCAGAGCCAUAUCAAUAGCUUAUAACACAUAGUCAACGUGAUGUGCAUGAGUUGGUCGAGAAUGAUUUAAUCAAUUGGGAUAGAAAUGAUAUUGCAGGAGAAACUAUCCAAACGGAUGUUCUACUAUCACAACAAGAAAACAUUGUUGAAAGAUAUAAUGAAUUAUUCAUGAUGAUGUGUAGCUAAUAAUAUUGGUAAGUACAUAAAUAUAUACUUACCAGAUAUACAAAUGGUAAUUUAUUUCAUAUUAUUUAUGUAACUUAUUUUGUAUUACUUUUUCUAAUUUACUUUAUGAUGUAGGAAAUGUCACAUCGAAGAGGAAGAGUACAAAUAGUGUCUCCAGAAGAUGAGUUGAACAAUCUACAACAACUCUCAGACAUACAACCUGCUGCAACUACUACUCUUAGUAGUUCUGAUCCUUCCGAUUCUUUAGAUUCUUCUGUUGUUGGUUCAUCCUCUAGCAAAAAGAGGACACGUGGCCCAACGCGUAACUUAGGUUUACUUAGUAUGAAACCCGGGGAAAAAAAACUACACGAUUCAAUACUAGAGGGCAAGUUGUUUAUGAUGGAAAAUGGGAAAGAUUGUCAAGCUAUAUGGGAACAUUGGUGCGAUCUCAACACAAUGUACCCAUCCAAGUUCAAGAUUGGAAUCAUGUUAGUGAAGACGUGAAGGAAAAGAUUUGGGCAUUAGUAUUGGUAUAUGCUAGUUACUAUUCAAUCUAAAUUGUAAUGUUAUUGUUUAAAAAUGAUACCUCUUAUUUAUACAUGACAUUUUAAUGCAAUAUAGGAAAAAUAUGAAUUAGAAGAAACAUGUAAGAGUUACGUUCUUCAAUGUUGUGGAAAUUUGUUUAGAAGCUAUAGAAAUAAAAUGAAGGCCAAGUAUUAUAACCCUUAUAAUACAGAUGAGGAGAGAUUGUGUCAUCGACCUCCACACUUAUCAGAUGAUGAUUGGAGGUAGCUCAUCCACUUUUGGGGUACACCUGAAG